AUUUUUUUGGAGCCCUUCCCCAGAUCUGUGCCUCGACACAAUCCUGUCUCGGAGCUCUAGGGACAAUUCCUUCGACCUCAGGGCUUGGUUUUUGCUCUGACAUGCCAUAAACUGUGGGACCUUAUAUAGACAGGUGUCCGAGCGAAGAGUGGCCAGUGUUCGGUUCACAGCCUGCUACCGUGGGGCCUGCCAUGGACUACUGCUCUGCUCCUCUCCUUUCCUCUGGUGCCUUCAGCUUCCUGGUGAGGCCUACAAAGAGAGACCUCCUCCCUCGCUCCUCCAUCCCGCCAUCCUCCUAUACAUGGAGGGACCUCUUUCAUCCCUCCCUUCCUCAGACGGUCUGUUUUCUCUGACCUUAUCCAUAAGCCAACCAGGCCUGGGGCCUGCCGAGGACAUCCAUUUUUGACACCAACAAACCAAUGGAUGGUCAAAAAAUAACAUUAAUUUAUUUUAUUUAAGUAUACAUUUUUCAGGAGCUGAACUAAACAUUAUUUGUGAGAACAUGUUUUUUUUGCACUUUUUUCCCAACAUCACUUGUGUUGUACUGUAACUGUACAUUGUUGUGGAAAUGCUUUUUGUUUAAUAAUUUAUGUGCGCCCCACAGGGCACCCUAUUCCCUGUAUAGUGCCCUAUGGGCCUGGUCAAAAGUAGUGCACUAUGUAGGGAAUAGGGUGCCAUUUGGGAAGCAUAUUACUUUAACUUUAUGGGCCGUUGUUUUCUUACCUGUCGACUGGCCUCUAACUGCUUCCAGGCGGUCAAAGCCAUGAGGCUCUAUAGAGUGUGAACAAUUCCCUGAAAGCUGCUGCUGAGGCAGUUUGGCUGUCUGGCUGUCUCUGUCCGACUGUCUGGCUGUCUGUAAGGCUGUAAUACUGGGAUCAGCCUGAUUCAGCCUCUCUUCUCAUUAGUUAUCUGUAUCCAUGUAGUCCUUGGAUGCCUUACAAGCAGCAGCUCAGUAGAGAUCAGUGUUUCCUUAUUCAUACAGAGUGAAGUGAAAGAAUAAACAUGUUUUAUAGUACCCAAGAAAUGUUACUACUUCCAGACUAGCUUUUUGUACAUUGUGUUACCUUUAGAAACAAAACAAAAAAGUGAGUGGUGUGUGUUUCAGCUAGGUCACGGUUUCUGUUUUUCUGAUAGCAAAGAGCAAUGCUUUUCAACACAUGUGUUGGACUGAUGGAUGUAUCAGAGGUAAGGUGAGGCAGGUAUACCUGUCCUCACCUGUAGUGCAGGUAUACCUGUCCUCACCUGUAGUGCCCAAACACACCUUUAGACAAAGACUUGAUAAGUCUGUGGAGACUCAUUGGUGUCAGUACAAAUAAAUGUGAUG
ensembl:lncRNA